GUGGGGAAUAUUGGACAAUGGGCGAAAGCCUGAUCCAGCCAUGCCGCGUGUGUGAAGAAGGUCUUCGGAUUGUAAAGCACUUUAAGUUGGGAGGAAGGGCAGUAAGUUAAUACCUUGCUGUUUUGACGUUACCGACAGAAUAAGCACCGGCUAACUUCGUGCCAGCAGCCGCGGUAAUACGAAGGGUGCAAGCGUUAAUAGGAAUUACUGGGCGUAAAGCGCGCGUAGGUGGUUUUGUAAGUUGGAGGUGAAAUCCCCGGGCUCAACCUGGGAACUGACUACAAAACUGCAUUAAUAGAGUACGGUAGAGGGUAGUUGAAUUUCCGGUGUAGCGGUGAAAUGCGUAGAUAUAGGAAGGAACACCAGUGGCGAAGGCGACUACCUGGACUGAUACUGACACUGAGGUGCGAAAGCGUGGGGAGCAAACAGGAUUAGAAACCCCUGUAGUCC
rnacentral:rRNA from 1 species